UACGGAGGGUGCAAGCGUUGUCCGGAUUUAUUGGGUUUAAAGGGUGCGUAGGCGGCCCGUUAAGUCAGUGGUGAAAGCCUCCAGCUCAACUGGAGAACUGCCAUUGAUACUGACGGGCUUGAGUACAGACGAGGUUGGCGGAAUUGAUUGUGUAGCGGUGAAAUGCAUAGAUACAAUCAAGAACACCGAUUGCGUAGGCAGCUAACUAGGCUGUAACUGACGCUGAGGCACGAAAAGCGUGGGGGAGCGAACAGG
rnacentral:rRNA from 1 species